rnacentral:siRNA from 1 species
AGGUACAUGGCUGUUCUCUUAAGC